rnacentral:rRNA from 1 species
GAUGAACGCUGGCGGCGUGCCUAAUACAUGCAAGUCGAGCGAACGGACGAGAAGCUUGCUUCUCUGAUGUUAGCGGCGGGCGGGCGAGUAACACGUGGAUAACCUACCUAUAAGACUGGGAUAACUUCGGGAAACCGGAGCUAAUACCGGAUAAUAUUUUGAACCGCAUGGUUCAAAAGUGAAAGACGGUCUUGCUGUCACUUAUAGAUGGAUCCGCGCUGCAUUAGCUAGUUGGUAAGGUAACGGCUUACCAAGGCAACGAUGCAUAGCCGACCUGAGAGGGUGAUCGGCCACACUGGAACUGAGACACGGUCCAGACUCCUACGGGAGGCAGCAGUAGGAAAUCUUCCGCAAUGGGCGAAAGCCUGACGGAGCAACGCCGCGUGAGUGAUGAAGGUCUUCGGAUCGUAAAACUCUGUUAUUAGGCAAGAACAUAUGUGUAAGUAACUGUGCACAUCUUGACGGUACCUAAUCAGAAAGCCACGGCUAACUACGUG